rnacentral:rRNA from 1 species
CUAAGGCACCAGAGGAAGCCACGGCUAACUCUGUGCCAGCAGCCGCGGUAAUACAGAGGCGGCAAGCGUUGUUCGGAAUUAUUGGGCGUAAAGAGCACGUAGGCGGCCUUGCAAGUCAGUUGUGAAAGCCUUCCGCUUAACGGAAGAAUGCCAGCUGAUACUACAGGGCUUGAGUACGGGAGGGGAGAGUGGAACUUCUGGUGGAGCGGUGAAAUGCGUAGAUAUCAGAAGGAACGCCGGCGGCGAAAGCGACUCUCUGGCCCGAAACUGACGCUGAGUGUGCGAAAGCUAGGGGAGCAAACGGGAUUAGAUACCCCGGUAGUCCUAGCCGUAAA